AGAGUUUGAUCCUGGCUCAGGAUGAACGCUAGCGACAGGCUUAACACAUGCAAGUCGAGGGGCAGCACGAUGUAGCAAUGCAUUGGUGGCGACCGGCGCACGGGUGAGUAACGCGUAUGCAACCUACCUAUCAGAGGGGAAUAACCCGGCGAAAGUCGGACUAAUACCGCAUAAAACAGGGGUUCCACAUGGAAAUAUUUGUUAAAGAAUUAUCGCUGAUAGAUGGGCAUGCGUUCCAUUAGGCAGUUGGCGGGGUAACGGCCCACCAAACCGACGAUGGAUAGGGGUUCUGAGAGGAAGGUCCCCCACAUUGGUACUGAGACACGGACCAAACUCCUACGGGAGGCAGCAGUGAGGAAUAUUGGUCAAUGGCCGAGAGGCUGAACCAGCCAAGUCGCGUGAAGGAAGAAGGAUCUAUGGUUUGUAAACUUCUUUUAUAGGGGAAUAAAGUGGAGGACGUGUCCUUUUUUGUAUGUACCCUAUGAAUAAGCAUCGGCUAACUCCGUGCCAGCAGCCGCGGUAAUACGGAGGAUGCGAGCGUUAUCCGGAUUUAUUGGGUUUAAAGGGUGCGUAGGUGGUGAUUUAAGUCAGCGGUGAAAGUUUGUGGCUCAACCAUAAAAUUGCCGUUGAAACUGGGUUACUUGAGUGUGUUUGAGGUAGGCGGAAUGCGUGGUGUAGCGGUGAAAUGCAUAGAUAUCACGCAGAACUCCGAUUGCGAAGGCAGCUUACUAAACCAUAACUGACACUGAAGCACGAAAGCGUGGGGAUCAAACAGGAUUAGAUACCCUGGUAGUCCACGCAGUAAACGAUGAUUACUAGGAGUUUGCGAUACAAUGUAAGCUCUACAGCGAAAGCGUUAAGUAAUCCACCUGGGGAGUACGCCGGCAACGGUGAAACUCAAAGGAAUUGACGGGGGCCCGCACAAGCGGAGGAACAUGUGGUUUAA
rnacentral:rRNA from 1 species